GAUGAACGCUGGCGGCGUGCCUAAUACAUGCCAGUCGAGCGAACAGACGAGGAGCUUGCUCCUCUGACGUUAGCGGCGGACGGGUGAGUAACACGUGGAUAACCUACCUAUAAGACUGGGAUAACUUCGGGAAACCGGAGCUAAUACCGGAUAAUAUAUUGAACCGCAUGGUUCAAUAGUGAAAGACGGUUUUGCUGUCACUUAUAGAUGGAUCCGCGCCGCAUUAGCUAGUUGGUAAGGUAACGGCUUACCAAGGCAACGAUGCGUAGCCGACCUGAGAGGGUGAUCGGCCACACUGGAACUGAGACACGGUCCAGACUCCUACGGGAGGCAGCAGUAGGGAAUCUUCCGCAAUGGGCGAAAGCCUGACGGAGCAACGCCGCGUGAGUGAUGAAGGUCUUCGGAUCGUAAAACUCUGUUAUUAGGGAAGAACAAAUGUGUAAGUAACUAUGCACGUCUUGACGGUACCAAAUCAGAAAGCCACGGCUAACUACGUG
rnacentral:rRNA from 1 species